rnacentral:rRNA from 1 species
UACGUAGGAGGCAAGCGUUGUCCGGAAUUACUGGGCGUAAAGCGCGUGUAGGUGGUGGGACAAGUCUGCUGUGAAAGCCCCGGGCUUAACCCGGGAAGUGCUUUUGAUACUGCAGAGCUUGAAUGUGGGAGAGGGUAGUGGAAUUCCAGGUGUAGUGGUGAAAUACGUAGAUAUCUGGAGGAACACCGGUGGCGAAGGCGGCUACCUGGCCCAACAUUGACACUGAGACCCGAAAGCGUGGGGAUCAAACAGG